AAGAACCAGCAGAGGAGAGGGAAGGAGAGCCAGUGAGUAAGGAUAAAACCAGGACAGUGUUGUUCUAGAAAACAAAUGGAGAAAGAGAUCAAGGAGAUGGCAGGUCUGUUAGUGCUCAUAUGCGGGCUCUGUAGUCACAAGUCCUGGAUGAAUUUGGGCAAGAUGUUAAUCCUUCUGUGCCUAUUCCUACCUCAUUGUCCUAAACGUUCAAUGACAUCACUGGAUUAGCACAAUAUUUUGUAUACUAUAAUCACCAUCGGCCACUAAACAUCACAUAUAACCAGCAUUGCUAACUAAUCUCCAAGACAACCCUCCCAGGUGAGUAUCGCUAUCCCCACUUCACAGAUGAGAAAACCGAGGCCCAGAAAGGCUGUGUCUUGCCCAAGGUCACAGUGUCGGCCACCCACAAAGCCUAACGCCAAACCUAAGUGCCUGUCCCCAGAGCCUGCACUCUUGAUGAGAACAGCCUGCUGUCUUCAGGAACACUGCCCAGCGCUGUGUGGACCCCUACUUAAACGGGAACCUCAGAAAUACCCUAUGAAGUGCUGUUAUUCUUAGCGUCAUCAUCAACUUGCAAAUAAAGAACCUGCUGCUCA